UUCGUAGGCGGCGUAGUAAGUUGGAUUUGAAAUCCCGGGGCUCAACUCCGGAACCGGAUCCAAACUACUAUGCUAGAGCAGAUCAGAGGGCAGUGGAAUUCCCGGUGUAGCGGUAAUAUGCGUAGAGAUCGGGAGGAACACCAGUGGCGAAGGCGGCUGCCUGGGGUCUUGCUGACGCUGAGGAACGAAAGCUAGGGGAGCGAACG
rnacentral:rRNA from 1 species